rnacentral:SRP_RNA from 1 species
AACCAGGUCCUGUGCAACGGCGACGGCGUGAACCCCGUCAGAUCCGGAAGGAAGCAGCGGCAGCACCGCUCUCCGUGUGCCGCAGGGUCGCCUGGUUAUC